CCAACAGAGUAGUUUUAUUGCUUAUUUGGG
rnacentral:piRNA from 1 species